GUCUGUGUAGCUCAGCAGGAAGAGCAUUUGACUUUUAAUCAAAGGGUCGGAAGUUCGAGUCUUCUCACAGACA
rnacentral:tRNA from 1 species